UAAGGAAUAUUGGGCAAUGGACGCAAGUCUGACCCAGCCAUGCCGCGUGCAGGAUGACGGCCCUAUGGGUUGUAAACUGCUUUUAUAUGGGAAGAAACUUCCGGACGUGUCCGGAACUGACGGUACCAUACGA
rnacentral:rRNA from 1 species